rnacentral:tRNA from 1 species
GGAGAGGUGGGUGAGUGGCUUAAACCAAGCGUUUGCUAAACGCUCGUACUCUCAAAAGGGGUACCGAGGGUUCAAAUCCCUCUCUCUCCGCCA